rnacentral:rRNA from 1 species
GUGCAGCAGUCGAGAAUUUUUCUCAAUGGGCGAAAGCCUGAAGGAGCGACGCCGCGUGGAGGAUGAAGGCUUUCGGGUUGUAAACUCCUGUCAUUUGAGAACAAGUGUAGCCGAAAUAACUACUGGCUACUUGAUAGUAUCAGAAGAGGAAGGGACGGCUAACUCUGUGCCAGCAGCCGCGGUAAUACAGAGGUCCCAAGCGUUGUUCGGAUUCAUUGGGCGUAAAGGGUGCGUAGGUGGCGCCGUCAGUGGGGUGUGAAAUUUCGGAGCGUUAACUCCGAAACUGCAUUCCAUACUGCGGUGCUUUGAGGACUGGAGAGGAGACUGGAAUUCAUGGUGUAGCAGUGAAAUGCGUAGAGAUCAUGAGGAAGACCAGUGGCGAAGGCGGGUCUCUGGACAGUUCCUGACACUGAGGCACG